GCUAGCACUGGUGCAGUGCCCAGUGAUGUUCAAAUAUACCUUAGGGGGCACAGAGGACCAGAUCCUGCAAAUCCAGAUGUGUUGUGCAGCCAAAAGGCAACAGAUCGUGUGGCUGCAUAUGGCGAGGCGAUGACUAGUCAGCACGGACCAGACUAUGACUGGAGGACCUCACUAUUGAUCCCCAGGUUGUGUAUGCAAGUGGUGGAAAAGCUCAUGGAAGGUACACAAUGUUUGCUAACGUCAUCGACUCGAGCCAGGUUAGGGUCCAGCGUGGAGGUUCAUCGAGGUCUGCUGCUCGUAGCUCCCGUCGCUCCACUCAAGAUCCAGCAGAAGUGGAGCAACUGCGAGAAGAACUUAGGCG